AUAUGUAAUUUUUUUUGAACAACUUAUAACAUUUGUAAUUCUGCAUUCUGUGGCGUCUUAUAUCCUCACUAACAAUUUUUUUCUUUCAUUUUGCAUCGUUAGAAUAUGUUAACUUUGACAGAUUGAAGUAUAGUUUACAAUAAUUGAGUGUUCAAAUUCUUUCACCACACUAAACUAUCCAUCCACUUACGAAUAAGGGGUAAGAACAUUAUUUUAAAUGUGAGGAUACAUCAUUCAUAAUGUAUCAUUGAGGUCACAAGUUCAAAAAUUUCUUAUUUAUGGUCUUGAAUAUACAAAACAAUUAUACACAUUUAACUACUGAAUCUAAUAAAUCAAGUUGUCAUGGCCUAGUGGUAAAUGGAUUUCAGCUAAAACUUCUGUUUUGGGUUUGAUUCAUCUUGGUUACUUAGUUAUGUCAUUUAAAUGAAUUAGUUACUUACUCAAAUGCAAGACCACAUGAGAUUAAUGUCAAAACCUAAAAACUUCUGUAAUUUUCAUGGUUAUUAAAAAACUACUGAAUCUAGUAAACCAAUCAUGAGAUUUGACACCUAUAUAGUGAGAUUGAUAUAUUGUUAUAAGAGUAUACCACUUUUAAUAAAAAUAAAAAUUGUGUUGUGUUUGUAUACAAAUAUGUGUUGUAUGGGUUACAUAUCCGGUGAUAGGAUGAUAAAAUAGUUAACAAAGUGACAGAAAAAAUCAAAAAAUAGUUAACAAAGUGACAGAAAAAAUCAAACUGAAAUCUAAGUGGGUCACAACGGUCUCUCUUGAGCUAGACGUAUCACGAAGCCUAUAUCUCGAUUGCUAAUAUUUUUUUUUGAUUUAACAUCUCGAUUGCUAAUAUCCAGAGCCGGUCCUGAGAUUAACGUAUUCACUUAAGGCCGCAAUCGAAAAGAGAAAAAGUGGCUGGUUUUAUACAUUUUCAGAAAAAUUGGCUGUUUUUAAAGACUAUAUUUUCCAGUUAAAUUGGUGGCCGCAAGCGGUUGCUUGCUUUGCUUUGCCUUAAGGCCGUCUCUGCUAAUAUCUUAACCUAUAUGUAACCAUUUUUACGAUAAAAAAUAAAGUUAUUCUUAGGUUCACCGACCAAUAAUAUUAAAGGUUCAUCGGGAUUAUAUUACUUUAUAUUCGAUAUCUUAAAAAAAAACAAAAUGUUGUCAAAUUAUAUUAUAUUUUUAAAAUAAAAAGAAAUAAAUAAAAAAUAAUAAUAAUUACCAAAAAAUGUUAACAUCGUCAACAAAUAACUAAACCCUAAAUCCUAAUCAUUAAACUCUAAACCCUAAAUUUUAAAUUUUAAACUCUUUGAUAAACACUAAAUUUUUGAAGAAUUUCGUAUUUUAGCGUUUAGUGUUUUUGAUUUACGCCAAAAAUAAUAAUAAAAGGAAAAAUUAAGACCCAAUAUCCUAAUUCCUCCAAAAAUUCAAAGAAAAAAAGGUAACCGUAACCAUUAAAUUUAAAAAUUAAAUAGAGAAAAACAUGUUGAAUUUAAUAUGGUCAAGAAUUUCACCGGCAGAAAUCUACGGCAAACCUCCCGUAAUCUCAGCCAAAAACGUGGCCCCCGCUAUCAUUAACUUCAAUUCAUUUUGAUGAUUUUACGAAAAAUACAUUGCAAAGUCGCUUACGUUACUUCUUUUUCCGACAGAACAAAAUAUAAGUAACACAGUUACACACUAUAAAGGAUAGAAAAUAGUAAAAUAGAAAAAAAAACAUCAAAUUUGCCUCAUAUGGACGGAGAAAACCCGUUUAGGCUAACGUUCAAUUUGAUCAGUGACAAAAUAUUAUAAAAAUAAAGAUAUUAUAUAUUAAUUAUGUAUGAUAUAAAAUUAUAAGAUAUAUAUAUAUAGUGUCAAUAUACAUAAUUUAGUGUCAAUAUUAACAUAAUUUAUAUUUUAAAAAAAUAUUAACAUAAUAUCAAUAUCAAAUAGCGUAAAUUUUCUAAAUAUAUAAAUGAAACAUGCUAAAAAUAUUAAGAUACUUUAUUCUUCAAAACUUUCCAUUUAUUAUUCAUGGUUUACAUGGAUUUUACAAAUAAAGAUUCAUUUGUCAUAAAAUGUAUCUCCGAUAAUCAAAAAGGAACUUAGUAAAAAUUUGAUCAUUUGAAUUGUUAGUAUCUUAACACAUCUACAAUGAUCAGAUUAUUAACAUCUGGCAAAAUAUAUGUUACUCAUAUGACACAAAAUAUUGGAAGUCGAUUUAUCAAGCUAGUAUCCCCCACCAUAUAUAUAUAUUUUGUAAACAUCCAUAUAUAUUAAUUCUAAUUAGAAUUGAGACCAGUGUAACUGCCUUCUGUUUUCAAUGAUACGAAAUAAAAACUGAAUACAAUGAAGAUACAAAAUAAUAUUCAGCAUGCGUGUGAGCACAAACGGGAUCAAAAUUUAACAAUCAUACGAGGAGAAACUUGAAAUCUUAACAUGAUAAAAAAUAGCAUAGGAUCCCAUUGGUUUACAAAGGCCAAAAGAAGUUAAUCGCGGGGUUGAAAGAAGACAACCAAAUAUAUUUUCUUUCAAUCAUUAAUUGGGUUAUUUGGUAUAAGUGUAGGAGUUGAAAUAUGAAAGCGAUCCAAGGUCUUUUUAACUAUUUUAAUUAAGCUUGCCAAUAUAGCCCAUGCAUGCACAUGCCUGUCUUUUGUAUUCUCACCGUUUCCUCUCGUUAGUGUAUCCAAUUUUAUUUUCGCUUCUCUCCCUCUUUUUUUGUUUGUUUGUAAUUGCACAUUAAUUAAUCUGGAUUAGUUGCACGUUAUAAUAUAUUAAUCAAAAUCUCAUUCCAGUGAAAACAGACAAAGCUUAACAAACGUUAUUUUCUUUAAUAUAUAUCAAGAAUCUUUAACACUUAUGAUGACUCAUGCAUACUUUCCUGCUUUGAACCUAAAUUACACAUAAGUGCCAGUUACGAGCAUCCACCUGUUGAUGACAAAAAUUCUAUGAAGAGAGUACGUACAUGUCAAUUUAUAGUUACCAGUAUUCAUAUAUCUUCACUGAAAAUACCUGUUUGAUUUGGUUGUUUACCUAAUUAACUAACAUCUCCAACGUAAAACUCUAUUUUUUUUUAAAUAGAGUAAAAAUAAAAUUGAUUUUACUGUAAUACUAUUCUAUUUUGAAAUGAAAAAUAGAACAAUAAUAAAAUAAAAUAUUAUUUUAUUUAUAGAAUAAAAUAAUUUUACUCUAUUAUGAAAUAAAAUAUAAAUUGUGGCUGGAAAUUUUUUUUGUUUUAUACUUUAUUUUAGAAUGAAAUAUAAAGUGAGGUCGGAGACGGUGGCGAAACCAAGCCAGAACAAUAACAAUGGUGGCACACAAAGAUUGAGAUAGAAAAGAUGGUUAAUGUGUUUUUGUGCACCCCCUUGAUGACUCAAGUUCAGUCCUUCUAUAUCAUAAGUAUAUUUCAUUAUACAUUACUUAUGCACUCACUAAAACUUUUUCUACAUUCGCCCCUGGUCGGAGAUGUUCUAAGAACAAAGAAUUUUGGAAAUUAUCAACUAUAAAACAUUUAAACUAGACCCACAAACCAAAAGUAGUGACUACAACUACAAUUAUAGUGUCUAUAUAUUUAUGUCCAUAUUGGUUUUAUUUAAUGAGCUUGGAUGUGUUUAACCAAUUAACUAGAAGAAAAUAUAAAGGAUUAUGUAUUUUUUGAACUAUUGAUGAUUAUGUAUUUUGAUUAGAAAUAACUAAUUAACUACAUAAAAUAUUUGAAGAACAUAUAAUUAACCCUCCGGAAAUUCCGACACCACGCGGAUGUGGUUGGAUGGUAAGAAUAAUUUGGAAAAGUGUUAAGAGCAUCUUUAAUGGAGAUGCUUAAUGGAGUGCUUAGUGGUGGGAUCCAACCAUAAAAGAGGAAGAAGGGGGUGCCAAAAACAAAUCGAUGUUUGCACUGUUUCGUGGGUUCCACUGACACGUGCCGAUCCGCGAUUGAUUCGUUUUUAAUUUUUUUUUAAAAAUCAUAGAAAAAACCAAAAAAAAAAAAUUAAGCACCCCACUUGGAGUACUAGGGUUAAUGGUGCUCUAAGUGUCCAAGGUUUGAAAUCUGUUAUUUAGAUUUAUUCAUCUGCAUGGUUAGACAACAUGGAUACCUUUCAUGUAAAGCAACCGGGUUUACUAUCAGUGAAGCGCCCCCAAAAGUUAAUUAAGCAAUGCUGAUCCGGAACCCUAGAUUAUCAAAAAAAAAAUUUCGAUCGUACCAAAUUACCAAUUGGUGAAUAGCGAAUCUUCUAAUGUCUACAUAUUAAUUGUUCACCGCCAUAUAAAUUAAUACGUACGUAUACUGGUAGAUGCCCUUAUAUAUGGAGAGUACGCGUGUAUAUAUGGUUUGUAUAAGAACACGUCGGAUUAUAAAUAAGUUGGUUCGCAUACAUACAUCACAAAUAGGUAAAUUACACAUAAAUCUUUAAAAAAUUAUAUAUACAUGUUUAUAAAAAAGUUUGGAUUGAACAAAUCUAUUUAAUAACAAAACUUUUAAAGGCCAAAAUCAGCAUAUGUGUAUAUAUUUUUCCAGUGUCACGAGUACUGUAAAUUCGUCAUCGUAAUGUGCAAAUCAGACAACCACUUUCCCAACCCUCAUGCAUGUUUGCAUGUGUUUGUAUGCAUGUUAGUAAUAUUACUAUAUUUACGUAAUAAUAACCAAUGGCGUGAAUAUAGGCGUAAGGUGCAAGUUGGUGCAAAUAGGUGCAAAAAGUUAAAACUAACUGACACCAGAAGCAUAUGUUCGUAGCCGAUUUUAACGACCGUUAACCAAAUGUAUGUCACUCUGAUUCUGAAGCCUAACUUUUCCUUUAUCGUGAUGCUGUUAUCUCGAGGAACUUCUAAAAUAUCUAGUCUUCACCGUCCGAUUAAACUUUUAGAAGAUUUUUCUUUUUGGGGGUCAGACAAAUAAAUUGCUUUCCACUUAAGGUUGUCCAUCUCGAGAAAUAAAGAUUCCGUGGCUUCGAAUCCCUUUAUUAUCCUCGUCUCAUCUUAUUCUCACUUUCUGUUCUUUUUUUUUUGGGACAACUUCCUCGAUUCUCCGAUGAACCACUUGGUUCUUUUUUGGUCCAUUUUCUUAGUUACAUUAACUUCAGUAUAGCUUUUAAUUUUUUUUUUUUUGUUUCCUAGAUAAAUAAGUUUGUUCUUUUUUUUUUACUUGAAAUAAUAAUUUUGUUUUUUAUAGUCUAAAUCUUUGUUAGAAUACUUCAUUGGUAGUGACAUCAAAGCGAUUAUGAUUUGCUAAGCUAUUUCCAAUUUAUAGUAGAAUUUUGAUGUGAUGCUUAAUUUUUGUUUCUUAUUUCAAUAUAUUAUAAUCUUAUAUUACUAGCAAAGUACUAUGAUUUAACAACGAAGAUAAAAGUUUAUAUAUAUAUAUAUAAACUGAUUAGUGUGAAUUAAAAAACUAUUUUUGAUAAUUAAUUAUAAAACCGUCACAGAUAUGGUCUGAUUUUUUUUCUCAACAGGUUUGGUCUACUAUCAAUUGAAAUUGUGCACAUAUUUUUCCAGUGUUAUUUGAGUUAAGAAUUUCUUAUAAUGAUCUUGUGCGAAUCGUCUUCACAUGUUCAAUCAAUCAACAUGCAAGCACGAAACAAUUUGAUUUAACAAGAUGACGAUACUGUUCAUCUGGUGUUUAUCUCUUCUUUCAAUGUGGAAUAGAGUUAUAUUCACCGGAGCUGAAACAGUUCAGCAAUACACUAGAUCAGUUCCUUUGUUCGUGUUCAAGAUUACAAGAAUCUCUGAUCUCUCUCUUGAUCCUCAAAUCCAUUCUGUAACUUCAUACUUAUUGUGUGUGUGAUCAAGCCGAAUCACUAAUACUCUGGUUAAAUCAAAACAAACUGAUUUGACCUGCAAUGCUUAACCGAGAUACUUACAGAGAAUAUGAAACAUAGAGACAUUCCUUCAUAUCUUAAAGUAUACAUCAUUGGUUUUAAAUUCGAGUUAUGAUCCGGGCAGCUACAUUAAUAUAAACAGUAUGCUAUCUUUAUACCAAAUAGUCUUAAUCAGUAUGGUUGAACUGAAUAUUAUCAUUCAUUAUAGUAUCUGAUCCAUUUACUUAAACACAUAGGUCUAGUGAAUAAUGGAUAUUUGAUUCGUAUUUCAAAGAUGGUUUGUGUUAUCACUUGGCUACAAAGAUAGCGUCAGAAGUCAGCAAGUGGACUAGCACAAACGAUGGGUUAUCUACGGUGGACGUUCAGAGCCUUUUCACUUUUCUUUUCAACCCUUUUCUCCUUUUAACUGGUUGUCAUUGGAAGCUGCAUAGAUAAUGUUUGUGUGGUUUACUUAGGACAAAAGUUUGCAUCAAAUAUCAUUUCAUGGGCUUUGUUUAUCAUCUAAGUUUUUUAUUUUGUAAUUAUUUUUGUUUAAAGAUUUGUCAUCAGAGUUUAGUGAGAUAAAUUUUUGCUAGCACUCAGAAAAAUCAUACUUUUACAAGUCAAUAAAUACCACUUUUAUUUGGAAUAAACUUUAUAAAUAAAAGAAAAGCGUAAUAAGUGUCCCGAUUAACUGCGUGGUUAAAUGGAAACGUGACUAUUCCAACGACGGUUCCCUCCGCUUUUUGUCGGCGCUUUAUAAAGUUUAUGUUGCUAUAUUAUUAAUUUGAUGUCGUUGCUUUUAUUUGCAUGCAUCAUUAACGCCGCACGCAUUACUUUCUUUUCUAGAAAUUCAUUAUAGGUUUACUUUGUUGACAUUGUCAUUCAAAUUUUACUAUGUAUGAAGUAUGAACCCGUUCUAACAUGACUAAUAAUGUAUCUAAGGAUUGAAGAUACACACGUAAUCUAUAGGGUUGUAUAUAUUUGUAACAUCCCAGAAAAGGAUUAAUAGAAUUUGAUUUGAGUCACCAAAGUUGACUUAACUUUUCCGUCACACAUCCGUUUAUAACUCCAAAGUUUAAGAUGCUUGAAAUAGAGUAGUAGAAGGAUGAAUAACUUAUCGGAAAAUGAUUCACAAUACCGUGUGAGUAAGACCAAAACACUAGAAAAAUGUCAGGUGAUGAUUGCAUGCUUAGUAAACAAUGAUUUUGAACCUUGGAAAACUAACGCACCGACCGUUGAAACGGGAUGAGACCCACGAGCCGAGAGAGCGGGCGUGGGUGGCCUAUUAGCCGCGGAUGAUCGGACGUUAUAAGUGAUAUCAGAGCUGGUUAACCAUCUCGGUUCUGACCCGAGAGGCGUCUUGAGACCUGUCGUAGGGUGAAGCCCAUAUUUUACCCGAAAUAUAUUCAAAUACCCGUGAAGCCCGUAUUUUACCCAAAAUCUGAUCCAAAAAACCAAAAAACACCCAAAAUUUAAUCUGAAUACCAAAAAUAUAUUCUUAAAAUUUUAAAAUCUUACCCAAAACCUGAAACUGUAACCAAAAACCCAAACCUAAAACUUAAAAAAAUAUCCGUAAUACGAAAACAUAUACAAAAUAUCCAAACAUACCUAAUAUACCAAAAAAUCCGAGUAUUUUGGGUAUCUGAUCGGUUCUCAGGUAUGAUCCAGACCAGAAUCGAAACAUGUGUUUCUUCUGGACCGGAACCAUACCUAUAUUUUUGGAUCGGUUUCGGUUCGUGGUUUUAGAUCCAAAUAAAAUGCAGAGACCUAAAGAGUUACAUAAAACUUUACAUACAAAAUCUCAAAUAAAGUAAUUUAUAAAUUAUAUACUUUAAAAAAAUUAUUUUCUUUAAUGUAAUAAGAUUUCGUAAGAUAAUGUACAACAAUCUACAAAUACCUAAUUCAUAUCAAACAGUUUAUAGUUAAAAAAAACCACGCUUCGAACCUAUGUUUUCUUAUUAUUGUUAUAGAGUUUCAUGAGAAACCUACCAUAUUUUUUCUGUAAUACAUAUUAAUUCAAUUAUGUUAUAAAGUUUGAAACUGAAUCAUUUUAUUAAGUAUUUCCGGUUAAUGAUAUGGUUUACACAAUAGUUUUUAAUUUUGCCUUUGGUUUACCUUUGUAAGAGUAUAUAUGGACUUCAAAGAAUCUCUAGCAAAAGAAUUUAACUGCUUUCAUGAAUGAAUACCAGUUUGAAAGGCUUGAUUCAUGUCUUUCAAAAAUGUCAGAUAGUUUUUCAAAAAAGAAAUGUCAGACAUAUUUGGAGCCACUGUAAAAGUGAGAUGUUGCUUGUCGUGGCCAAUGGGCAUGUUUAAUUAUAAUCAUUUUGCCAAAUUUUGAAUAAUAUAUCUAUAUAUAUAUUUAAACUGAGGAGAAUAAACAAUUAAAUGUAGUUGGACCGGCAGUGUUUUGGUUCGUUUAAACCCAAUUCAUCUCUUGUCAAACCAGCAUGAGCACUUUUCUUUGUCCGUUUAUUAAGUGAAUGGCAUAAUGGUAAUUACCUUAUCAUCUUCUUUGCAACUGUUUUAGGUUUUCUGCAAAUCUGUUUUCGCCGUCAAUCUUAGAUUCGUUGAAAUUCACUAAUUCUAUGAGUUCUUUUUGUUGUUUUUGCAUCAGUUUCGUAGAUAUAUCUUCCAAUAUGUGAUCUAUAACAUUCAAAACUCUUAAAGAAUGAACUUUUUGUUGAAUCUGAUUUGUUGGCCGAAGAGGCUAGAAUCUUCACAGUGGAUCUCCGUUGAGCGUUCCGGCGCCGCUUAGUCGGGCACCAUGGCACGGUUUAGAACCUGAACUUAUAUCAAAUAUUUAUAAAGAGUGAUCCAAGUGGAGAUAUACAUUAUUGGAGAUAUACCUUAUUAUCUUUAUAUCAAUCUCUAUUUACGUCACGAUUUAUUGUAACUUGAUUAAAAGAAACAUUGGUAUAUUAAAAUGUAAUAUGAUUUUAAUUGUUACUAAUAUAAUAGGUUGACUUAAAAUGAAAUGUUCCAUCAACUUUGCAUAUGUAUAUUUUUUAAAACUCUUUCCCUUUUAAUAGUAUAGAUUAUCAACCGCAGAUAGCCUCAGCCACUAGAAGAAAUUAUAUAGCAAAUACCUGAAAUUCAGGCAAUUUAAAAAAACUAAUCAAUGCAUUAGGAGUAAAUAAUUGAGACCCAUAAAAAGUCUCUAUAUUGCCAACCCUAAUUUUGUAAGAGGCCAAGGAAAAUAUUAAACUCAACUCAGUUAAUGCUAAUACAAGUAUGCUGUAAUUCUAGACACGAUCAAGCAUCAAGAAUGCUAGCUAUAAUAAUUAUACAGACAUUCAAUCACUAAUCUGUGAGAAAUUAGUAAAACACCAGAUA